rnacentral:rRNA from 1 species
GGCUCAGACGAAACGCUGGCGGCGUGCCUAACACAUGCAAGUCGAACGGGUUUACUGAUGUAGCAAUACAUUAGUAAAUUAGUGGCGCACGGGUGAGUAACACGUAGAUAAUCUACCCUAGAGUGGGGGACAACCCAGGGAAACUUGGGCUAAAACCGCAUAAGACCACGAACUGAGAUGUUAGUGGUAAAAAUAGCAAUAUGCUUUAGGAUGAAUCUGCGGCCUAUCAGGUAGUUGGUGGGGUAACGGCCCACCAAGCCAAUGACGGGUAGCCGGUCUAAGAGGACGAACGGCCACACUGGAACUGAGACACGGUCCAGACUCCUACGGGAGGCAGCAGUGGGGAAUCUUGCACAAUGGGCGAAAGCCUGAUGCAGCGACGCCGCGUGAAGGAUGAAGGCCUUCGGGUUGUAAACUUCUUUUGCAGGGGAAGAUAAUGACGGUACCCUGCGAAUAAGCCACGGCUAACUCUGUGCCAGCAGCCGCGGUAAGACAGAGGUGGCGAGCGUUGUUCGGAAUUACUGGGCUUAAAGGGCGCGUAGGCGGUGAUAUAAGUCUGGGGUGGAAGCCCAUAGCUUAACUAUGGGACUGCCCUGGAAACUGUAUUGCUUGAGUCGGACAGGGGAAGGCGGAAUUCCAGGUGUAGCGGUGAAAUGCGUAGAUAUCUGGAGGAAGGCCUGUGGUGAAGACGGCCUUCUGGGUCUUGACUGACGCUGAGGCGCGAAAGCGUGGGUAGCAAACAGGAUUAGAUACCCUGGUAGUCCACGCCCUAAACGGUGGGUACUAGGUGUGGGGCCCGUACGGGUUCUGUGCCGAAGGGAAACCAUUAAGUACCCCGCCUGGGGAGUACGGCCGCAAGGUUGAAACU